UAAUGAUGGAUGUUGUUGGAAUGAAGUGUGAGGUGGAGUGUGUGUGGGGGUGUCAGUUCAGAACCUCCGUUUCCGGAGAAGAGAGUCUGAGUGGGAUAUGAUGUUUUGCUCCUAACUGAUCAAGUUUGAACCGUGGUCAUGAGCACAUGAGACGCCAUUUGUGUCGCAUCCACAUACCCUUCAGUGAAACUUCCGUACAGAUCCGGACGCCAGGUCCACGACCUUCCUCUGGUACUGGAGCCGAUGAAACAGCGUCGACAGUACGACAAACCAGUCUUUGGAUAGUCUCCAGGUAAACAGCGACAGGUGUUUCACAGCGUCAAAAAGGGAACCUCCCUUGGGUCAGCGAGUUCAGCUUUUAUUCUGAAGGCACAGAGUUCAGCUUUUAUUCUGAAGGCACCGUUGCUGGUUGAUAACAACGGCAGGUUUCCCAGCUUGGUAGUUCUUAGCUUAAAAAUAAGAGUAUGGAUGGCCUUUCCAUACUCCACUUAGCAUGCGGUGAACUUCAGGGGAUCUUGAGAUCUUGUUGAAUACUGAACUUGAAAAUGGCGUUGGAACUGUUUUAUUAAUCUGGAUGUUUAUGAUUCUGGACGAAUCAAAGCUGACAGAUUAAAUAAACACCACAGAGACUCGCCACGCUUCAGACGGGGAAGAUUCUGAUUGGAUCAGCAACAGCAAUGUGUCAUGUGAUUAUUUACCUUAGUGUAUCAGUGUGUCUAGUGACUAGAAUAAGUCAUUUACUUAUUAAAACAUAUUAGUCAUAAUAUUGUGAUUUCACAGAUCGGUCACAUGGUAUUAUUGACUAACAGUUGUUUUGAUUAGCUUUAUUGAAAAUAGAGUUCUUUGGCUUUUAAUAAAAGAAAAGAAAGGGAGUCUUCAUCUUCUGUCUUCAUUGCUGGAACGUAAACAGUUUAGAAGCGAAUGCAUGACCUUGAGGCUGUUUCAUGCACUCUGGCACUGUGUCAAAAGGGAACAGUGGUUAGAGGAUAAUAACCCUGAGAAAUGGCUCCUUCAUCACGUUACAUUAGGAUCUGGCCUUAUUAGCUGUUUUUUUAUCAUCUGUGUUUCUCUAUACUGAGGCUAUUCAAAUGUGUAUCUACAACAGAUAAUUUUUCCACAAGAUGACUUUUAUGCAGUUAAUUUAACAGAGCAUGACUUCUGAAGUAUGUCUGUUUCAGAGACCUUUGAACUGCUUGAUGAUUGAGAUGUGAAUGCAACACUGUUUUUAAGACCUUCCCGGUGGAUUAAUUGAUCCUAUGGAUUCUGUUUUUGGUGAAAUGUUGCUGAAAUAGUGGCAGCCUUUUCGAGUUGGUUAAUAAUAAGUACUGAGAAGGUUUGCUCGUUAUUCUGUGUUUUGAGAAAUGUUUUCAUUUGUGCUGUGUGUGAAGCGUCUGUUGAUUUCUAGACAGCUUGUGGAGGCUGUCUAAACACCACAGUGGUGCUGCUCCAACAGCCUCGUGAAUAUCAACACACCAAAAAGGCCUUUUGUUGUUUCUGAGAGUGAAUAUUAAAAGAGAGAAAGACAGCAAACCUCGGGUUGUUUAAAUUAAAUAAACAGAUUCAAACCUGCUGAGGAGACAGAGAACCCAAACAUUUCCAGAAUACAACCAAAUGAUUUUAAACAAUCCUGCUUCAUCUGAUGAGAACUUCCACGGAAAAAGGGGAGCAGAUGGUUGAGGUCUCUCUUUCCAGUUUUAUUCACCGCAAUCUGUUAGUCAAAUCUUCCACAAAAAGGAGAGGAAAGACAUUUUUGGGAGCUAACGCAGAGUGAAUGACUCACUAGAGUCCUUACCUCAUAGACACUUUUACCAUUAAGACUAAUUUGAGGUUAAUAAAGCACUAUUUGUGCUGUUGUCCUUUGUGUAAAGAAAGUUUAAUGUGCUGUGAAUUACUUGGUGCCACUUCAUCAGUUUCCCUAAAGGACAGGACAAAAAUGUUUACGCAGAUUUAAGCAUGACUGGGAGUCAAAGAAACACAAAAUCCAGUCGGACUCCAACAGGUGGUCUUCUGGACCCUUGCAGGACAAACAGUGAAUGUAAAUAAUUAGAAAAUGUCUUCAGAAGGGUGUCAAAAAAGCUACGGCCUGAGAUUCAUGCAUCACCUUUGUAAUAAUCUGGCCAGAUUAACAAAAUUGUGGUCCCCAUUGUAACCAGUUGCUAAGUGGGAUCACCAUGGAAACAACCAAUGUUUUAUUAGGGUCACCAUAGUAACAACCAGUGGCUCAGUAGGGUUACCAUAGUAACCACUUGGAAAUGUUUAUCAGUCUACCUGAUAUUUAGAGCACCAAAGGGGGCGGGGCUUUCCCACCUGUUUUACCUGAAUCUGGUGGUUGUAUUGUUUGAGGUUAACGGCACACUAUGCAACUUUUACAUAUUUUUAAUAAUUUUCUUGAGCCCGUGCAUGCUAAAAUGACCUUUUACGGGUUAAUUAAAUGCCUCUCAGACCCCCAUCGCCCUCUGUGGCCAGAUUCUUGCACUUGCAGCUUCAGAGUGCCGGUGUCAGUGCCAGAUCUGCUCGGGUGCCAGAUCGGUUUGGGGACCCGCGCCUGCCGAUGACGUCACACUACAUGAUUGGCUGAAGGCAGGACUUUCUAAAGUUACAAUACCACGUUUGUAAAAGUAAGGGUAGCACGUCGACACUGAAGAUUUUGAUUGGACCGAACAAAUUUGCGGUUGAAGUCCUGUAGUCCAAAACAAACGCUUUCGGAGAAAAUAUGUAAUAUUUCCAUAGAAAACUGAUUUUGAUGAAAUGGGGCAUCAAAAAAACAAAUUAAAAAAAGAACAAAUAGCAAGCAACAUUUUUAAUGAAUGAAUGGAUUUAUUUACAUACAAACUUACAAAAUAUACAGAGGAAUACAAAUUUAUACAAACGGACAUGGCUGCUAAUUAUGUAAAUUCAUUUUUAAAAUGUCACGUUUAAGACCAGUUAUGCUUUUUAACAGUCUGAUGUUGGUUUUCUGCAGUUUAACAUUCUUUACAAAAAAUGAAGACAAUAUGGUGUUUUAUUACCAAAUUAGUUAUAAAGAAAAAAUGUAGGCCGCAAGACACAAGAAUGUAUAACAAAACUGCUAAACUCUUUCCAAAACGUAUGUGUAAAAGCCGAGUGGAUUUGCCAUUGUGUGACAUCAUCGGCAGGCACAGGACCCUGAGCGGAUCUGGUACCGACACCGGUCUGGUCCUUGUUUGACGGAAACUGACAUGCAAGUGUUGCAGUCGCUUCCGGCAUGUUUCCUGCAUGUUUUCACAGCCAUUGACAAUAAGGAAUAUUGUGUGGCUGUGUUUGUUGACGUGGCUAAAGCCUUUUAUUAAGGAUCAUAACAUCUUACUUUGCAAGCUCAACCAUAUAGGACUUUUUCAGGCAUCUUUGGCUUGGUUUAGUAGUUGUAUCUUAGGCCGUACGCAAACAUUGAGAACAGAGGGUUACCAAUCUGCUCCUGCACCUCUAUCUCUGGGUGUUCCUCAAGGGUUGAUACUGGGCCCAACGUUAUUCGAAAUCUAUAUUAAUAACAUUGUUCACGCUGUUGACAGUUCUCAUAUUUAUAUGCAGACAUUUAUCACUCAGCAAUCGUUUCGUCACUGGUGCCCUUUCACUACUCAUUGUGAUCUGUACUCACUCAUAACUGGCCAUCGCUCCAUUCCUGCAGAAUGUUACAUUGGUAUCAGUUCAUAUACAAAACAAACAUAGGUAGAACCCUGUCUUAUCUUCGAUCAUUACUCAUCACUUCCAACAAACAGCGCAAUUUAUGUUCCAGUAACUUAAUCUCUAUGGUUAUUCCCAAAGCUCACACCUCUUUGGCCGCUCCUCAUUCCAGUUUGCUGCUCCCAGCGACUGGAAUGUCACUGAAGCUCACUACCUACUACGGGGCAGCAGUGGCUCAGGUGGUAGAGUGGGUUGCCUCAUGAUCGGAGGGUCAUGGGUUCGAUUCCAGCUCCCACCAGGGGUAUCCUGCUGUUGUGUCCUUGGGCAAGAUACUUCACCCAACUUGCCUGCGUUAGUGGUGGUCAGAGGGGCAGACGGCGCCAAAAGGCAGCCUCGCCUCUGUCAGACCUCCCCAGGGCGGCUGUGGCUACAAGUAGCUUACCAUCACUAGCAGUGUGUGAAUGUGAGUGUGUGUGAAAGCAUCUUUGGGUGUCUUGAAAAGCGCUAUAUAAGUUCAAUGCAUUAUUAUUAUUAUUAUUAUUAUUAUUAUUAUUAUUAUUACCUACAUUCCAUUAUCUACCUUCAAUAAUUCAUUGCAAUCAAUAGUUUCUGAUCAAUGUAUUUAAAACUGUUUUAAUUGCUUGUACAUAUUGUAAAUGACAACAGUUUGUUGUCUUUAUGUCUAAUUGUUUUAUCUUCUCUGUUUUUCUUUGAUAUAAAGCUAACUAUGUGUCUGUUGCAGCUGCCUCUUGGCCAGAUCGCCGUUGUAAAUGAGAAUGAGUUCUCAAAAAACUCAUCUGGAUAAAUAAAUAGAUAAGAAGAAACCUCUAAAAUGCCUAGUUGGUAUGUAAACAUGACUGGUAAUAAAUGUGGAGAGCAUUUCGUUUUUGCUUUGAUGACUUCAUCGAUUGUACCGAGGCUGCAGGGACUCCUUCCAUUAUGCAGCACGUUCACUGUGGUCAUUUGGUGGCGUUUCUUGUUGAGGUGAUAAUUACAGGAAAACAGGAAACACAAAACACUCUCACUAAUUACAUAUAUAUUGUCCUGCCUCAUGACUCAUAAUAAACAAUAUGAUUAAAGAUGGAUGUCUGCAGUAACUAUUAUAAUGGUGUUCACAGCGAAGAGCUGGUUGUUAGAAUGACAGCUUCUCUUAAACAUGACAGAGGUCUGAAUGACUCAAGUAACUGAUAUUCAGAGGGAUUGUUUAACUUGGUUCAGUUCAGUUUCUUUAUAUAGUAAUGUCAUCUCAGACACUUCACAAAGCAAACAUUCCAAUGGAAUCUACUCUAUAGGAGACUGUUCUGUUCUGGUCCUGCUGGACCUGACUGCAGCCUUUGACACUGUUGACCAUCACCUGCUACUGGAGAGGCUGAGAGACUGGGUAGGCCUAUGAGGAACUGCUCUGGAGAGGUUCUCCUCUUUGUCUGGCGUUCUUUCUCUGCGGCCAUAAGUUUUGGUCCUCUAGCAUCUCCCUCACUCAUGGGGUACCACAAGGUUCUGUGCUGGGGCCUCUACUCUUCCUCCUCUAUCUGCUUCCCCUCCAGCACAUCCUGAACUUUUUUUUUACAAGGAAUCAUCUACCAUCUUUAUGCAGAUGACAUCCAACUGUAUAUCUCCUUUAAGCUCCUUGAGAUGUCUAAGCUGCAACUGUUACACGCCUGCUUAGACUCAAUUACUACUAUACUAUUACUAUUACUCCAUUACUGUCUUGGUCAGCUUGCUUCUCACACCAAACCCUCUGUCAGUAAUCUUGGUGUGACCUUUGACCCAGCUCUCACCCUGGAUUUUCGUGUAAGUUCUCAUGUUUGCUCUUCCUUCUUCCAUCUCAGGAACAUUGCUGAGUCCCAUUCGGUUCCGCUCUGAACUUGAGACUGUUCUCCACCCCUUCAUCUCCUCACGCUUAGACUACUGGAACUCUCUUUUCACGUGUCUGAGCAGAACCUCCCUGAACCGUCUACAGGUGGUUCAGAAUGCCUGUGCUCGGUUUCUGACCAAGUGCUCCAAACACACCCACAGCACCCCGCUUCUCCUCCAGCUUCACUGGCUGCCAGUCAACUUCAGGGUUCAUUUCAAGAUCCUGGUUCUGGUCUUUAGGGCCUUACAUGGACAAGUACCAUAAUACAUUGGUGAUCUUCUCAGUCCCUACACCCCCAGCAGGUCCCUGAGGUCCAGUGACCAAAGCCUACUGGUUGUAAAGGGUUAAUUUACAUGUUAUUUAAUGAACCAUGAGACAUGAGAUUCCAUAGAAAAUAUGAAAUCAAUCUUAUGGAUCUUUGGGUACUUUUAACCAGAAGAUUGGAACUUUUUAUUGUAGGGAUUAUGUAACACUUCGUAUUGACUGAGAGACAACAGAAGAGAGUCAAGUUUUAAAAGUUUAAAGAUUUGUUACUAAACAAAUUAAAACUAGACUAACUUCAAACACUAAAUGUAUGGUGUAACUAAGGUGAAGUGAGACAGAGAAUGGUGGAAUGUGGAAUGUUGUUCAGAACCAGCAAAUCCGAAGAAACGAUUAGUUCUGAUGGGAGUGAAGGUGAUGUCUUCGCGCUAAGCUUUGAUUUGGAGUUUCAUAAACACAUAAGACGCCAUUUUUGUCACUCCACACAUACCCUUAGAAUGAGACCUCCGUACAGAUCCAGACUGCCAGGUCCUCGAACCCAUCAUUCGGUACCGGAGCCGAUGAAACAGCGUCAGCAGUACGACAGACUAGUCUUUGGAUUGUCUCCAGGUAAAAAGCGACAGUUGGUUGACAGCGUCAGAUGGACCCGGAGGAUCAAUCAGUUCAGCUUUUUUUUCUGAAAGGAACCGUUGCUUGGUUGGUAAAAUGCAACAGAUUUUAUCCAGCUUGUCGUUGGUUCUUUCGGCUGAAGAGGAAAGUUACAGAUUGGCCACUCCGUCAACUUCUCUAGAACGCUUUGAACUGGUGUUAAAGAUGACGUGGGCAUAGUUUUAUACUUCUGAUGUUUUUGUCAUGGUUCUGCUUUUUCUCUGUGGUUGUGCUCCUAAGUGUUUGCAGGUGAGCAUGUUGGAGAGCCACAGCUGCAGCUGAUUAUCAUCCAGCCAGGCCAGAGGAUAUAAGGAGCGGUGUUGCCACACUUCAGUGCCAGUUGAUACUCUAUUGUUGGUACCAGCCCUGGAUUCUUACCCUCAGCUUCCUGCUGACUGAAGUGGAUAUAUUUCCCAACGCCGCUCACCUCUGGUCUCCCGCUCUCCGCCUCUCACCUGUCCUGGAUUACUCCUUUGCCUGCUACUCCUCUCCACCAGACCAUCUCCAGCUCAGACCCACACCUCGUACUAAUCAGAACACCCUGCUGGCCCAGUUUGGAUCAGCGCUUUUCGUUUUCAUUAAUUUUCUUUAUAAUAAAAACAUUAUAUUUUA